UGCAGUCGAACGGAGUUCCUUCGGGGACUUAGUGGCGGACGGGUGAGUAACACGUGAGAACCUACCUUCAGAAUGGGGACAACAGUUGGAAACGACUGCUAAUACCCAAUGUGCCGAAAGGUGAAAGAUUUAUCGUCUGAAGAUGGGCUCGCGUCUGAUUAGCUAGAUGGUGGAGUAAGAGCCUACCAUGGCAACGAUCAGUAGCUGGUCUGAGAGGAUGAGCAGCCACACUGGGACUGAGACACGGCCCAGACUCCUACGGGAGGCAGCAGUGGGGAAUUUUCCGCAAUGGGCGCAAGCCUGACGGAGCAAUACCGCGUGAGGGAGGAAGGUCCUUGGAUUGUAAACCUCUUUUAUCAGGGAAGAAAAAAAUGACGGUACCUGAUGAAUAAGCAUCGGCUAACUCCGUGCCAGCAGCCGCGGUAAUACGGAGGAUGCAAGCGUUAUCCGGAAUUAUUGGGCGUAAAGCGUCCGUAGGUGGUCAUGCAAGUCUGCCGUUAAAGAAUGGAGCUUAACUCCAUAGGAGCGGUGGAAACUGCAAGACUAGAGUACAGUAGGGGUAGCAGGAAUUCCCAGUGUAGCGGUGAAAUGCGUAGAUAUUGGGAAGAACAUCGGUGGCGAAAGCGUGCUACUGGGCUGAAACUGACACUGAGGGACGAAAGCUAGGGUAGCGAAAGGGAUUAGAUACCCCUGUAGUCCUAGCCGUAAACGAUGGAUACUAGGCGUGGCUUGUAUCGACCCGAGC
rnacentral:rRNA from 1 species